rnacentral:rRNA from 1 species
GAUGAACGCUGGCGGCGUGCCUAAUACAUGCAAGUCGAGCGAAGCGGGGCCGGGUGAGUAACACGUGGAUAACCUCCUAUAAGACUGGGAUAACUUCGGGAAACCGGACCUAAACCGGGUACUUAGCGAUUGGUCAUCGCUGCAUUAGCUAGUUGGUAAGGUGACGGCUUACCAAGGCAACGAUGCAUAGCCGACCUGAGCGGGUGAGCGGCCACACUGGAACUGAGACACGGUCCAGACUCCUACGGGAGGCAGCAGUAGGGAAUCUUCCGCAAUGGGCGAAAGCCUGAUGGAGCAACGCCGCGUGAGGGAUGAAGGUAUUCGGAUCGUAAAACUCUGUGAUUAGGGAAGCGGUACCUAAGCAGAAAGCCCCGGCUAACUACGUGCCAGCAGCCGCGGUAAUAC